rnacentral:rRNA from 1 species
AUACGUAGGGAGCAAGCGUUGUCCGGAAUUACUGGGUGUAAAGGGAGUGUAGGCGGGAUGGUAAGUUAGGUGUGAAAACUAUGGGCUCAACCCAUAGACUGCACUUAAAACUGCUGUUCUUGAGUGAAGUAGAGGUUGGCGGAAUUCCCAGUGUAGCGGUGAAAUGCGUAGAUAUUGGGAGGAACAUCAGUGGCGAAGGCGGCCAACUGGGCUUUUACUGACGCUGAGGCUCGAAAGCGUGGGGAGC